UCAUGCCCAGCUGGGUAAAACCACAAAACACAUUCUCACUCUCUUCCGUCGAAGUCACUUCCUUCAAUCGCCGAUUACCACCGCCGUGCCGUUGGCCUUGCCACUGCCAACAGUCAUCGUCUAUCAUCCUACACUCAUCCAAAUUGCAUCUGGAUUUCUAUUUCGUCUAUUCUCCACCUUAUAUCUAUGUCAUUGUCUCAAAUCCACCAUCCCCAACGUCCGCAAAUUCUAGAGCCUCUGUUGCUGUAUCACCCUCUGAUCUACUCUUUCGAGUGGAAUUGCUGACAACUUGUAGCUGUGGACUCCGGCAACAACUACACCUUCUCCAGCUACUCUGAAAGCGAUGGAGAUUAUAGCUUCACGUCCCAAUUGUUCGUUGUUUUCUCGUUAAAGCUUGCUCCUCUUACUACUCCAUUCUCGCCGAUUUCUUCUUUUUCUUCUAAUUGAUCUGUUGAGCUUACCACAUCACCGGUUUUCAUCAGCAGUGUAGAGAGCAUCCUUGAGAUUAUCAAGCCAUUUCUUGACGAGUUCAUUUCCAAACUGCUUCUGCUCAGCGUCAGCAGCCAAAGCUUUAGCAGCCAAGAUAGCAGUCUUCAGCCUCUUAACCAACUUCUGGUCCAGCUUCUACCUUCUAAUUUCACUUGUACAUAUGAUAAAGAUGACAUGUGCUGGAUGCCUCUUUGCAAAAAUGUUCAGCGGAUUAUGGAAUUUGAGAAAUGAAGCUUACAAAACCAUGCCUGAUGUAUCGGUAAUCGUGGACAAAACCAUUGCCAUGGAGAAAUAGGAUGACAAUUUGAGAAGCAAAAUGGUGAUCAUGCACAAACUGUUCAUGCCAUUAUAUAUAGCUACCAAUGUUUUAAGUAAUCCAAUUCAUUAUUAUGUUUGUAGUGCUCAAGUCAUGAAUUUAAAAGAAAAUUUCCAUCUUUCAUCAUUUAUUGUAUACAUGUUCCAUCUCAAAAAGACAACUAGGGUAUUUGGUCUAGUUGUACUUUAGUCUUUGGGUAUGUAAGACCGAGAAUCUUUGAAAAGUCUUAUUAUGAGCAAGUCUCAAAUCCUACAG